rfam:Canis lupus familiaris chromosome 11, whole genome shotgun sequence.
AGGAGGAACAACCACAGUGGCGGGGCCAGCACUGGAGCCCUGGAUUCAGCCCCCGCAGGAACUCCGGAGCUCUCCGUCUGCAGGGCCUGGAGGCUCCGGGGCGGG